GCACAAGCGGUGGAGCAUGUGGUUUAAUUCGACGCAACGCGAAGAACCUUACCUGGGCUCGAAAUGUUAUGGACCGGAGUGGAAACAUUCCUUUCCCGCAAGGGACCGUAAUAUAGGUGCUGCAUGGCUGUCGUCAGCUCGUGUCGUGAGAUGUUGGGUUAAGUCCCGCAACGAGCGCAACCCUUAUCUUCAGUUGCUACCAUUUAGUUGAGCACUCUGACGAAACCGCCUCGGAUAACGGGGAGGAAGGUGGGGAUGACGUCAAGUCCUCAUGGCCUUUAUGUCCAGGGCUACACACGUGCUACAAUGGUCGGUACAAACCGUCGCAAACCCGUGAGGGGGAGCUAAUCGGAAAAAGCCGACCUCAGUUCGGAUCGUAGUCUGCAACUCGACUACGUGAAGCUGGAAUCGCUAGUAAUCGCGGAUCAGCAUUGCUGCGGUGAAUACGUUCCCGGGC
rnacentral:rRNA from 1 species